rnacentral:lncRNA from 1 species
ACGAAGGAGGGGAAAAGAGACCUCAGGCUCAGGGCCCAUCUAGAAGCCAGCUGAGUCAUUGCUCCUCCUGUUGGGUCAGAAACCACCUUCCACAAAAGGCUGGGAGAUGGCUGCCCUGGGCGUGGGCACGAGGCUUUGCAGGAGACACAUCUGCCCUGAGAGUCCCCAAGCCUGCUUGGCAGCCUCCUCUGGGUGCAAGACUCCCACACUGGUUUCCGGAGGCUGCAAGCUAGACGGCAGUCUUCCCCAAACACAUUGAAGGUAAAGAAAUGAUAAAGCCUCUCCCAUGAGCUGGGCACUCGGGACACAUCAGAGAAGACAAGGCCCCGCCCCCCUGGCUUACAAACCACCCAGGCAAUAAGAGAACAUGUGAUGGACACGGUCAAGGGACACAAGGGGGGUGACCACGAGCUGGUCAGGCAGCUUUUAGUCGGAGUCAACUUGUGGUUUGUGAAGACACGGGUGGACAUGGCCGUGGGGAAAGACCAGGAGGGAGGCACCGGGAAAGCUUAUUCCUGCUUCGGGGAACACUAUGAAGCUUGCAACUGCUGGCCGAGGGAGCUUCGGGGCCUGAGAAAGCUUGGAAAGAAGGCUAGUGCUGCCAUUGACAGUGACUGCCAGCAGGUAUGUCCCAUUAUCUCCCAGGGCCUCAGCUGUCUCCUCAGUGAACUGGGCAUAGUGAUGCCCACUUUGCAGAGAGGCAGUGAGGACUGAAGACCAUCACGUGAGUGCAGUGCCUCGCACACAGCGUCCUCCUCUCUCCUCCACCGCCCUUUCCCUCACUGUUUCAUGUUUCCAUCUAGGAAAACAGGUGAAUAAGAUCCUGUCCCUUAAAAAACUUAGGCGACAGGGAAUUCCCGUCAUGGCUCAGGAGUUACAAACCUGACUAGGACCCAUGAGGAUGUGGGUUCGAUCCCUAGCCUCGCUCAGUGGGUUAAGGAUCUGGCGUUGCCGUGAGCUGUGGUGUAUGUCACAGAAGUAGCUCGGAUCCUGUGUGGCUGUGCCUGUGGGUGGCAGCUGCAGCUCCGAUUUGACCCCUAGCCUGAGAACUUCCAUAUGCUGCAGGUGCAGCCCUUAAAAAAAAAAGACCAAAAAAAAGAAAGAAAGAAAGAAAGAAACUUAGGUGACACAAUAGGGCCAAAGAAACACGUGGCUGGGGAGUUCAAGAUGUGGCUUUACCUCUCUGUCUCUUAAUGGAGGUAAUUACACCUACCUUUUCUCUCGAGUUUGUAGGAAGAUGAAAUAAGACAACUCCGGUAAAGCUCUUGGUCCCACACCUGGCACAUUAUAGGUGCCACUAAAUAGUUGCAUGGUCCCGCAUGGUCAAGUUUACUCACAAAAUGAAUGUGGCAAAGGCCACAGAGCGGGCAGAGAAUGUGCUGUGGGAGUUCAGGGGAAGAGGAUUUCCAACUGGAUAUCCAGGAAGGCUCCAAGGAGGAGGCAGCAUUUCAGCUAAUUUGGACACGAGGUGAUGAGAGGAGGAGGGAGAGAGAGAUUAUUCCGGGCACGUGUGUGGAAACCAGAAAAUGUGGCUGGCAGGGCAGGCUGGCGGGUGUGGACAGGAGCUUUAGGAGCCAAGGCAGGAAUGGCUGUGGCUGGAGUCUGACCUAGAAAGCCUUCAGCGAGGAACGGAGUUGGGAACGUUAACUCAACAGAGAGCUGCUAAAGUUCCCGAGGGGAGUGGGUGUGUGCGUGUGUGUGUGUGUGUGUGUGU